rnacentral:ncRNA from 21 species
UUCUUAUCAAGAAGGUGGAGGGACUGGCCCUAUGAAGCCUGACAACCGGCAAAUGUACGGUGUUAAUUCCUGCAAAACUUAUUUGUUUUGAAAGAUAAGAA